GAUGAAGAACGUAGCGAAAUGCGAUAAGUAAUGUGAAUUGCAGAAUUCAGUGAAUCAUCGAAUCUUUGAACGCACAUUGCGCCCGCCAGUAUUCUGGCGGGCAUGCCUGUUCGAGCGUCAUUUCAACCCUCAGGGCCCUUUUGGACCUGGCGUUGGGGCUCGGCCGCUACCCUGCGGCCGUCCCCGAAAGAUAGUGGCGGUCUCGCUGUAGCCUCCUCUGCGUAGUAGUUACAUCUCGCACUGGAACGCGGCGCGGCCAUGCCGUUAAACACCCCACUUCUCAAGGUUGACCUCGGAUCAGGUAGGAAUACCCGCUGAACUUAAGCAUAUCAAUAAGCGGAGA
rnacentral:misc_RNA from 1 species